AAUGAACGCUGACAGAAUGCUUAACACAUGCAAGUCUUUGGCGAAUCUGUGCUUGCACAGGCUAGCCAAGGCGGACGGGUGAGUAACGCGUAAAGAACUUGCCCUGUAGACAGGGAUAACAGACGGAAACGACUGAUAACACCUGAUACAGUUGCCGGCACGCAUGUGCCUGGCAAUGAAAAGAGAUGCUGCAGGAGAGCUUUGCGUCCUAUUAGCUUGUUGGUGAGGUGACGGCUCACCAAGGCGAUGAUAGGUAGCCGGCCUGAGAGGGUGAACGGCCACAAGGGGACUGAGAUACGGCCCUUACUCCUACGGGAGGCAGCAGUGGGGAAUAUUGGACAAUGGGGGCAACCCUGAUCCAGCAAUUCUGUGUGCACGAAGAAGGUUUUCGGAUUGUAAAGUGCUUUCAGCAGGGAAGAAGAAAGUGACGGUACCUGCAGAAGAAGCGACGGCUAAAUACGUG
rnacentral:rRNA from 1 species